UACAGAGGGGGCAAGCGUUGUUCGGAAUUACUGGGCGUAAAGGGCGCGUAGGCGGCCUUCUAAGUCGAACGUGAAAUCCCCGGGCUCAACCCGGGAACUGCGUCCGAUACUGGAAGGCUUGAAUCCGGGAGAGGGAUGCGGAAUUCCAGGUGUAGCGGUGAAAUGCGUAGAGAUCGGGAGGAACAUCAGUGGCGAAGGCGGC
rnacentral:rRNA from 1 species